rnacentral:lncRNA from 1 species
UAAAGUAUCCUGAGCUGAAGAACCUACAGAACUGUCUUAAGGAAGGAGCUCUGCUGAAUGAUUUGUGAUGCUUGAAGUAUAAUGUUGUGCGUUAGUCUUUUUGAUCACAUGAAUGUAAGAGUACAGAAAUGACACUUCACAUGUUACCUCUGAUGAAUCCGCAUCAGUGUGAGUUUCCAGCUGUCACUGUGUGUGGAAAGCUCAUGACUGUCUGGCAUUGUCGCUUUGGGGUUUGACACGCUGUUAAACCUGUACAUCUGGUUCUGUUCACGUGAUUUUCUCUCAGCUUCUUAUAAAUCACAGAACUUCACAGAGACAAACACACAUAAGAGGAACACUUAAAGAAACACUCAUGUUGUACAUUCUGGGGAUUGUUUUGGGGCUAAUUGGCAUCAUCCAGUGCAUGUCGUAUGGUCUGAGUCAGAUACAUGUUGAGAAUGCCUUCCAAGAAAAAAAUAUGCUUUACAUAAACAAGUGGAGAAUGAAUGAUCAGGAGCUUCACCUCAUCAUUAGACUCCUGUCUGUUGGGCUGGUGGAUGCAGAUCCAAACACUCUGCACCAUAUAAAAGAAUACAGAGAUCUGAGAGGAAGUUCAACCUGAGAGGGAAGAGUCAUUCAGACGAUUAUAUGAGUCUCCCUUCCCGAUCAUUAACCCUGAUAAAGGAAACCUGACAGGUUCUCUUUUACUUGUGUUACUGGUUAUUCAAGGAAACAUGUAACAUGGCAAAGAUUGUUGCCCUCCCAAACCUUUAAAAGACUGUGAAGCACUUUUUCCUGAAAUGAUGUCCCAAACAUCUGGAUCAUCUGUUCUGACAGACUCCGGUCAAAUGGACAGAGAAGAAAUGAUAUGAUACUAACACUGAUUCCCAUGAAGAAGAACAAACAUUCUUGAGGGUAGACAAUUGCUACACUGUGAAUUAUCAUCAUAUGUUUCUAACAUUUGAAUCAGCAUGCAUUAAACAUAGUCCUACAUGCAAAAUGUACAGAAAAUAUUUGGCAUUGUUCACCCAAAAUUUAAAGUUUCCAAAGACAGACCUGAAAUGAACUGAAGCAAUUCCGGUUUUAAAACUUUAAUGUAUAAAUAGUUUAACAGAGUCAUGUUGAGCUUCAUACAAAUUCAUAAAACAGCUAUUUAUUAUCACUUAUGCAGUUUUUGAUUUUGUUAAAUAACUUGUUCAAUAAAUGUUGGAGGACACUAGUUUUAUUAUCAGUUGCAAAUUUCCAGAAAUGUCUGUAACAUCAGAUACAUAUUGUAGUUUCAAAUUGACAUUAGCAGAAGUGGUCACAGAUAAAUAAAAAAAAAUAAUAAAAUGUGCACUGACACCAUUCAAAUAACUUGGAAAUGGUACACAUCGGAUAUAAAUAGGACCAGUUCACCAGAACACAUUCACAGGAAUAAUGUGUCAUCAUGUUCUAGUAAACAUGAUGUGUGCUACAAAAGUGUGCUGUGAAUCAAGCAUACAAAGUCACUGGUAUUGGUCAGUCUAUGGAUCAAAAGGUCAGUUGAAUUGUAAAGGAAGAUUAUUUAAUUGACAUAUUUUUAAAAGCUUAUCAUACCAUAGCAUGAUUCAUCCACUGAAGGAAGAGGCUGACCACUGAAGCUGGAUAGACCUGCUGUCAAUCAUAGGCUAAAAUCAGCCAAAACAGCAGAACUACAAACUUAAAACAAUUCAAAUAAAAUAAAAUAAGAUGCACACAUUUGUAAAGUAAUUACUGAUUAAAGCUUGAAGAACUGAUAUGGGUUCAGUCUUUUGCAUCAUUAUGCGUUAUUACCAUGAACCACCAGUAGAUAGUGCACGGUCAUUGUUUACAUUGCAAUGCAUUUCUAUUAAAUACUGAGCAACAUUUGUUAACUGUAGCCUACACUCAGGGGAAAAAAGUACAAAAUCUGUCACUGCGGUGGUACCCUUUUAAAAGGUAGAAUAUUAAUAUUUACACUUCAGGUAAUUUGUACUCGAUAGAUAUUAAAUUGUAACUUUAGGGUACUAAAACAUAUCUUUUAGGGGUAAAUACGAAAGUGUACCAUUUGAAAAGAUACUGCCCCAUUGACAGCUUUUGUAACAUUGUUUUUUUUUUUUUUUUCUGAGCGUGAAUACUCAUCUAACCUCUAGCUGACUGACACAACGCACUCUCACCAUAGACAUGUGAAGCACGUUAAAUAGACAAAACAGUACUAUUUAGUUCAUCAGUUUUGGCACCUGUUUUCUGUUAGCUAAAAAGUUUCCAAUAGUCAACAAGUAAUUUCUACAGCAACCAUUCCAACUGGAAAUGCAAAGACAGUAAAGAGCAAGUCCUGGCAGAGGCAGAGAAGUGACAUUUUUGAGCCUUUCCUCAUAGGCUGAAGGUCAUUCACAGAUGCCAGUCCAAAAAACACUAUCUGUAAGACCUGAGAAAUGAAAAAAGAAAAAGCAGCCUACAGUAGUGUGUCUAUCAGAAUAAGAAUGUUGAUGUAAAAAUGUCUUCAUAAGGGUGGCAUCUUAACCAGGUUUAAAAAUGUGAGGUAUUUCCAGGGUCCGCCAUAGACAAACAUCUCAGGUGGUAUAUCUGAAUUUUUUUUUGCAUGAACAGACAAUGCAUGACAAAGACAUACCAGCUGAAAACAGCUAUGUGGUCAAAUUUCUUCAAAAUGCCAGUUAUGUCUGCGGUCAUAGAGUCUGUUGUUGAAAUACAAAUUUAAUCACUAUGAACUGAGCUCUCCACUCAGCUGCAGGAGACUUUAAGAAAUGCCAGGGGAACUACUUUAAUUCAAAUUUAUGAGAAUAAAGUUUAGAUUGAGAGAUUAGCCUAAACUGACCAGCUAAUUUGACAUGGUGCUAUAAAAGUGCAAAUACUUACAAAGGGCUUUGUGUUUUUUUCUGGUGACGUCACACAUACAGGUUUUAUUUUAUUUUUUUUUUCUCCAAAAGCACAAUUUUGUAACACAGGCUAAAAAAGUGUUUUGUAAUUUGGUUUUUGCAAACUGAGACUGAUACAGGUUUUAUUUUAUUUUUUUUUUCUCCAAAAGCACAAUUUUGUAACACAGGCUAAAAAAGUGUUUUGUAAUUUGGUUUUUGCAAAGUUUUGAAUUGAAGCAUAACUCAAACCUGCCUGAGUAGCUUGUUAAAGAUCAGUGAUGUCACCUAAACAUGCUUAUGUUCAACAGUCUUUUUGAAAGUGUUGCCAACUUUGUCGCUAGAUUUAGCAACUUUUUCUUCAAAAAGCACCUAGCAACAAAUUUAGCUAUUUUUAAAAUGUAUUUGGCAAUUUUUAGCAACUGUGACUCAAAUGAUAAAAAGGAACACAUUUUUCCACUAAAUUACACAAAAAGAGGAAAUCAAAAGUGUCUAGCAGUACACAUAUCAUGUGAAUUAAGUUGCUAGUUGCAAUUGUUCAUUUAUGAUAAAACCUUGUUAUUAAUUUGUACCUGCACAUGUUGAUUAACAUGUAGAAAAAUGUAAAAGGUACUGGUAAUUUUCUGCCAGAACAUUGUCCAUUAUAUUAUUACAUGAAAACACAAAAUACAA